rnacentral:rRNA from 1 species
AACGGAUAUCUCGGCUCUCGCAUCGAUGAAGAACGUAGCGAAAUGCGAUACUUGGUGUGAAUUGCAGAAUCCCGUGAACCAUCGAGUCUUUGAACGCAAGUUGCGCCCGAAGCCAUUAGGCCGAGGGCACGCCUGCCUGGGCGUCACACGUCGUUGCCCCCCCY